rnacentral:rRNA from 1 species
GACGAACGCUGGCGGCGUGCUUAACACAUGCAAGUCGAACGGUAAGGCCCUUCGGGGUACACGAGUGGCGAACGGGUGAGUAACACGUGGGUGAUCUGCCCUGCACUUCGGGAUAAGCCUGGGAAACUGGGUCUAAUACCGGAUAGGACCACUGCCUGCAUGGGUGGUGGUGGAAAGCUUUUGCGGUGUGGGAUGGGCCCGCGGCCUAUCAGCUUGUUGGUGGGGUGAUGGCCUACCAAGGCGACGACGGGUAGCCGGCCUGGGAGGGUGACCGGCCACACUGGGACUGAGAUACGGCCCAGACUCCUACGGGGGGCAGCAGUGGGGAAUAUUGCCCAAUGGGCGCAAGCCUGAUGCAGCGACGCCGCGUGAGGGAUGACGGCCUUCGGGUUGUAAACCUCUUUCAGUAGGGACGAAGCGCAAGUGACGGUACCUACAGAAGAAGGACCGGCCAACUACGUGCCAGCCGCCGCCGUAA